CGCGGCCUAUCAGCUUGUUGGUGAGGUAACGGCUCACCAAGGCGACGACGGGUAGCCGGCCUGAGAGGGUGACCGGCCACACUGGGACUGAGACACGGCCCAGACUCCUACGGGAGGCAGCAGUGGGGAAUAUUGCACAAUGGGCGCAAGCCUGAUGCAGCGACGCCGCGUGAGGGAUGACGGCCUUCGGGUUGUAAACCUCUGUUAGCAGGGAAGAAGAGAGAUUGACGGUACCUGCAGAGAAAGCGCCGGCUAACUACGUGCCAGCAGCCGCGGUAAUACGUAGGGCGCGAGCGUUGCCCGGAAUUAUUGGGCGUAAAGAGCUUGUAGGCGGUUUGUCGCGUCUGCUGUGAAAGGCCGGAGCUUAACUCCGUGUAUUGCAGUGGGUACGGGCAGACUAGAGUGCAGUAGGGGAGACUGGAAUUCCUGGUGUAGCGGUGGAAUGCGCAGAUAUCAGGAGGAACACCGAUGGCGAAGGCAGGUCUCAGGGCUGUAACUGACGCUGAGAAGCGAAAGCAUGGGGAGCGAACAGGAUUAGAUACCCUGGUAGUCCAUGCCGUAAACGUUGGGCACUAGGUGUGGGGGACAUUCCACGUUUUCCGCGCCGUAGCUAACGCAUUAAGUGCCCCGCCUGGGGAGUACGG
rnacentral:rRNA from 1 species